rnacentral:siRNA from 1 species
ACGCUUUGUGGCUGUGCCUAUUCC